GGAGGGGAAAUACGGUACUGGUGCCUGGCUCCCUCCUCCCUCUCCUCUUUUUCUCCUUCCCCCAUCCUUCCCAGGCCACAGUGAGCUGGUAAGUGAAGCUCCUGCCUGCUGCCAGCCACCAGCCAAGCCUGGCCUUGUGGACAACAAGGAGAACCCCAGGCAAGUUGCCUGCUCCCAGGAUGAGAAAGGAGAUGCAGGAGCCAGAUCUGCAAAGGCUGCUGGGCAGGCCUCCAGAGCCUUGGGACGGCGAUGGUGCCGAGGACAAGGACCGGAGGACGACCGUCUCUGCGCGUCCCGCUGCAGCAUUUGUGUCCCAGACUCCGGAGGCAACAUUUUCCGCGACUGGAAAACAGAAAUUGACUUCCUGCUCGUGAGGGAGGAGAAGCUGCGAUCCCCGCGGCGGGCGUGGUGACAGCGACUCCUGCAAGCGGAGCUGGCGCGAUAAGUUCCAGAGGAACCUGAGCGCGGCCGGGCUGCUCCUGGAGGAGGUGGCAGAGAUCCUGGCCCGAACAAUCUAUGGGAAAGAGGAACGUGCAAAGAUGGUCAUGGCCCGUCUGCUGACCGAGGGAGUCUACACUGCAGCCUUCCCACUGCGUGAGGUAGACAUGACACAAACCCAGCUUUCUUCCACUGCAGGGGCAUCAGGAGAAAAUUCUGGGACUUCCCUGCAGCCCUCCCGCCUUUCCUCUCCCUAGGGCCCCUGUGAUCUGCCCGGGUACCAGGUGCCUGGUGCAGACCUCAACCCUCCACAAUUGCUGUAUUCAUACUGGGCCUGCUGGGGGUGCUGGCAAAAGUACCAGCCCCUGCACCACAUACAGGAGGACUUUGGGGACAAGGCAGCUAUCUACUUUG